CGGUCCCAUACCGAACCCGGAAGUUAAGCCUUUCAGCGCCGAUGGUACUGCAACCGAGAGGUUGUGGGAGAGUAGGACGCCGCCGGAC
rnacentral:rRNA from 3 species